UUGAGCAAUCGAGGGAGUGGCGGACGGGUGAGUAACACGUGGGUACCUACCCCAAGGUGAGGAAUACCGGCGAGAAAUCGCCGACAAUACCGCAUAGGCUUCGCAAGAAGCAAAGCUCGCAAGGGCGCCAUGGGAAGGGCCUGCGGCCGAUUAGCUGGUUGGUGAGGUAAAAGCUCACCAAGGCGACGAUCGGUAGCUGGUCUGAGAGGAUGAUCAGCCACACUGGAACUGAAACACGGUCCAGACUCCUACGGGAGGCAGCAGUGGGGAAUUUUGCGCAAUGGGGGAAACCCUGACGCAGCAACGCCGCGUGGAGGAUGAAGCCCCUUGGG
rnacentral:rRNA from 1 species